GGGGGCGUAAAGGUUUCGACGGGGAAUUGAAAAUCUGGGGAGCACCGGGUCGGGUGCAGGUGGCCGACCUUAAUAAACCUGCACGGCAUUAAUUGCCGACAAUUAUAACACUCCUGUAGCUCUAGCAGCAUAACAGGCGUCCCCGAUCAAGAUGCCGGUGGUAAAAAGGGGGCGUCACUCACUACCGGAUAGGGGAGCGCAACGCCCGUAGCGCAACCCGAAACUCACGGGAUCGCCGUCUGACUGCCUUGUUCGUUGCGCAGGCAG
rnacentral:tmRNA from 1 species